ensembl:lncRNA
GUUGAGCGGAACUACAGAAACAUCCCUGCUGGUAAAAUCAGCUGUUGAGUGUCGAUCCAGAUUCAGAGGAACAUUACAAAUGGGAUUUCAUUCAAGAUCUCCAUGUGGGAUUCCUCAGGGAGCCUUUCAAUGUCUGAAUGAGAGCAGGAAGCCGCUGCCGUAUUCUCUAAAAGGGAUCGGACAUGAUGUUCUCCAUCAGCAGCAGGCCUAUAGCAGUUUACCUAAGGGCUGGUCCAGGCCCACAGAGGCUAGUACAGUGUCUUCUGAUGACAUUCCCUCCAAGAACAGAACCUUACGGACCAGAAUCCUGUUGGCCAAUUCGCACGUUUCCACCAAUCGUUCUAGUCUCU